AAUCAGCCAAUUAAGCCAACCAUGGUCUUUUCCCCGUGGGGGGCCCAGCAUGCAAUGGCUGCAAACAGCAGCCUCCUCGGUAGUGUGUGCAGCCUGUCGCCUGUACAGGAUGCCCUAAGGACCCUGGAUACAGCC
rnacentral:snoRNA from 1 species